UGGAAGGGAGGAGGAAGUCGGGGGUAGGGGAUGCCCUCUGCCUCCUUCUUGAACCUGUCAGGCAGACAGGAUCUGCAUCCAGGCUCUGUGACUUAGCAACCAACCGUGUGACCUUGAGCAAGUCACUUCACCUGAGCCUCAGUUUCCUCAUCAGCAAAAUGGGUCUGGGACUGGAGCUCCUUACCUGCGCUGGCCCAGAGUGAGUUUCCCGUGGUCACGUGGGCACUGCAGGCUCGGGCCCCUGGGCUCCUCCUCAUGCUCCAUUUCUUGGCAGGGAGAUGAUAGGGAGAGAGGUUCUCCCACCAGGUCUAUGAUGCUUGUCCUCAUGAAUAAGUGGGAUACUGUGUCACUCAAACCCUAGUCUCCUGCUUGGCUGGGCCACAGCUCAUAAAGCCAGGACCGAAGUGUGGCUCCUUCUGGAGUCCACAGAGCCCUGGGCAUCCUCCAUGAGCCUUCUAUGCCUGGGUGGCCCAGGUUGACCGGCUGUGUAUGUGUUGGGGUUAAGGAUCCCCCCUGACUCCCUCCGGACUCUGUCCAGGGGCCC
rnacentral:lncRNA from 1 species